GCCCGGAUAGCUCAGUCGGUAGAGCAGGGGAUUGAAAAUCCCCGUGUCCUUGGUUCGAUUCCGAUUCCGAGUCCGGGCACCA
rnacentral:tRNA from 1 species